CAAAGACCCCCCCCAGCCCCAAAUCCGUGGAUCCCGGCUCAGAAUUCCCUGGUUUUGGGGCUAAAUGAGCCCAAAUCCCUCCCUGGGGGGGGUCUCUGCUGGGCUGGGGGCUGCUCUGGAGCUCUGACCCCCCUGCACGGAUUUUCUGACACUUCCAAGACAUCAAAGGGGUUGAAAUCCCCUUUUUUCCGACGCUUCCAACACGUCCAAGGGGUUGAAAUCCCCUUUUUUCGGCCCAGCCCCGUCCCCAGGAAGUGGAAAACAGAGACAAAAUCCCGAUUUCUGAGCGGAGCAAGAACUUCCAGCCCGUCCUGGGGGUUCCUCCUCUCCUCCCUCCCCCAGGGGCACCUCACUUCCAGGGGGAGCUGGGGAUGAAUUCUGGAUCGAUCCAGGCUGGGAUCUUCGUCCUGGGAUUGCAGCCAAAGCUUGGGAAUGGAUUUUUUUGGGGAGCAAAUAAAGGAUUUAUUCCCCCC